GUCGAGCGGGCACCUUCGGGUGUCAGCGGCAGACGGGUGAGUAACACGUGGGAACGUACCCUUCGGUUCGGAAUAACGCUGGGAAACUAGCGCUAAUACCGGAUACGCCCUUAUGGGGAAAGGUUUACUGCCGAAGGAUCGGCCCGCGUCUGAUUAGCUAGUUGGUGGGGUAACGGCCUACCAAGGCGACGAUCAGUAGCUGGUCUGAGAGGAUGAUCAGCCACACUGGGACUGAGACACGGCCCAGACUCCUACGGGAGGCAGCAGUGGGGAAUAUUGGACAAUGGGCGCAAGCCUGAUCCAGCCAUGCCGCGUGAGUGAUGAAGGCCUUAGGGUUGUAAAGCUCUUUUGUCCGGGACGAUAAUGACGGUACCGGAAGAAUAAGCCCCGGCUAACUUCGUGCCAGCAGCCGCG
rnacentral:rRNA from 1 species